UUUUAUUAUUUAUUUACUUUUUAAUUAAUUCUUUUUUUUUUAAAAAAAACAAUUUUUCUCAUUUUACAUACCACUCCCUUUUGGAGUGGGGUCUACAGUCACAAGGACAAGCUGCCCGUGGUGCAAACAUGCUUUUCCCACGGAGGCUUAUGGACAACAGCUGGAGUAAACUCACUUCUAUCUCAUACACCUGGGGGGAACAGGAAACCACAUUCCAAGAACAAUUCUGUGUUUUUGAGGAAACUGAGGUCACAAGAUUCUUAUUUUCUUGGAAUUUUCUCGCAAGCAUUCAUAAUUGUUCUGACAGGAUUCUUCUGUUCUUGAACCAUGUUCCAACUACUAACUAGGGACAAAUAGUGCUUUCCUCAAGACGUCUGCCCGAAUAUGAUCUCAAUAAAUCUAAAUAAAUAAAUAAAUGAUCUCAAUUGCAUUUAAAAAUUCCUUUGCUUUUGUGGCAUGUUGUAGCACUGUAAUUACAUUUAUUAUUUAUCUUCAGCAACUUAGACAUCUUAGAUGUCAAUAUCUUCCCCACUAAACUACCAGGCUUUUGGGUUUAGGAGAUGUGUUGGUCACCUUUCUCCAGAUAGAGCAGGUUAGAGAAGUACCAGGACAUGACAGUCCUGUCAGAGCCCAUCGCUGUGAAUCUGGUCGGAGUUCGAGCCUAUUUUUGCUCCUGCAAGGUUACAACAGAUUUGACCCAGGGUGUGGAUGCCUAUAGGGUGCUUGGCCUAGGGUGUGGUUGCUGCACAUCCUGCCUAAACAACAGAAUACUCAACUCAAGAUAUUUUAGGUAUUAAAGAGGUAAUUUCUGUGUUUGUUCUUUGUGUCUGGUGAAGUCUUUUGCCUCCCCACUCCCCUUUUGGAGUGGGGUAUAUAAAGUGAAUUCUUAAUUCACUGGGUUGCCCUCUUGCCUCUGUUUACUUCUUUUGUAUCUCUGUUUUGUCUGCCGAACAUUUCUAAUCCACUCGCCUUUACCCUGGACUGUUCAAACCCAUUGAGGCUGGGCCCUGACAGAUGGUGCUGGAUGUGUGAUACAAUGGUGGAGAAUAUAAUGGAUCCCGCGCAUGAAUAUCACACCGCAGGUGUAGAGAUUCCACACAAAUGUGUGUUCAACAUGACGGGCAAGAAGACGGCCCCCUUUCUAGUUGCACCCUGUUUCCCAGGACAAAUGGCUCUCUGCACUGGACCCGGUCUCUAUGCGCGGCAGGGGACCUGCCCAAGGUUAUGCUGCACCUAGGAGGAGGAGAAUGAAGCCUGAUGGCUUUCUCAACGUCUGGUCUGGUGUGUGAAGCAGAAUAAUACCAGCCCUGAUGGCCCAGAAGCUGCUGAGGCCUUCCCAGAGGAGUUGGAGUGAGAUUGCUUAACUCCUGCUCCUGACCCUCUGAAGUCAUCAGCUUCAGUCUGAGAACAAAGGUUGUGAUGAGGGUUGGUGAUUCCCAGCUUCUCGGUGAACCUACUGCAAAACUUCCAGACCUUAGUGAAUCUUAUUUACUUUGGAGCCAGCCCAAGAAUGCUGACUGCAUAUCUAGCCUUGUAUCUACCCCAUAUCUUGCGGCAUAGAAGUUAAGUUUGCUGGUAUGGUAUUCAGUCUGCUUAGGACUUGAGAACUGGGACUUCAGAAAUUUUCCCUCUGGGGGAAAGAGACUUGUUAAAGCCUCUUUAAUGGAACACUAUUAUGGAGGCAAUGUGUGAGAACGAAGAGGAGUGGCGUGUAAGUUUUUGCGGCUGCUUAGAGACUGGAACUGAAAUUACCUGGCGCGAGUGAGAAGGAAGCAUGGAACACGCAACAAACCCGUUUAGGAGUUUAUUAGAGGGGGCGUGCACAGGCCUGGGGAAGUCAGUGUGCAGAGAGAGUGAGAGAGGCGGGUGUGUGUUCAGCUUUUAAAAGCUGCCUAGCACAUUCGCACAGGGAGUUGACGUGACUAUAUCGUACACACAUGCGCCCAAGGGCUUAGCUGAAUCAUAUGUGAAUGACGCAACCACACCACACAUGGGUCACAUAGGGCCCUUUAACAUCCCUGGAGCCAUUAGGCACUUCUGCUGAGGGCUUGUCUGCACACGCACAAGUCUUUUUGUGGCUGAAAUCAUAACAGGGACAGUUUGAACUUACCUUCAAAAGUUAAAGGCAGCAAUGAAUUGGACUAUAAGAGAGAAAAAAAUGACUCAUAGCCUACCCAUCACAGAAACCUUUUCUUGUUUUUCAAUUGGAAUGAAUUUAUGAGAAUUGUAACUUGACAAAUUGUGUAUUUAUUAUUAAUUUUCAUAUAGAAUAUUAUGGUAUGGACUUGUUAAUGUUUGUAACUACUUUGGCUCACAAUGGAGACGUUACUUGUUAGAAAAAAGUAGAGCUUAUCUGAGAAAAAUUUCACAUGAUGUCAAUGAGUCCUUCUAUUUAAUAUGUUUAAUAAGACAAAUUUGGAUUUUAAUGCAGCUAAAAACUGUUAAAGACUCCUAGAUCAAUUUAAAAAGGCCAUCUUAUCUUGGUCAUCCUCUACUCCCUUAUUAGGAGAUAUUGUGGCCUUAGGGACAUGUGUAUUCACAAAGCAUUAUCUGCUUCCUUAUGAUUGUCUAGUUAUUUGUGAACUCUCUCGAUGGAAAGUUGUCUCAGAGGAGUACAGCAUCUAGCUAUGCACCCUCCUCUAGCCCUUUAUUAAAAGAAUAUGGUAAUCAAUGAUGGGUAAGAUCUUUUUCCCUCUAGGAAACCUGAGAUAGGACAUGUAUAAUGGGAUGCAUGUACCAAUGACAGAUAAGUUUAGAAGGUGGAUGAAGACAGCCUAAGCUAGGCACAGUUGUUUGUCCUGUAGCAGAAGCAAGACUUUAAUAAAUAAAUUAAAAAGGGGAGGGGAAUAUGUUGGAGCUCAGGAAUGUGGAUUCAUUCCACCUUGACCAAAGGUCAGAGAGUUUAAGACUAUUCUUGCUCCUGCAAGGUUACAAUAGGAGAUUUGGCCCAGAGUGUGGUUGCCUACAGGAUACUUGACCUAGGGUGUGGUUGCUGCAUGUCUUGCCUAAACAACAGAAUACUUAACUCAAGAUG